rnacentral:rRNA from 1 species
UACAGAGGUCUCAAGCGUUGUUCGGAUUCAUUGGGCGUAAAGGGCGCGUAGGCUGCGGGGCAAGUCGGGUGUGAAAUCUCAGAGCUCAUCUCUGAAACUGCACUCGAUACUGCUUUGCUUGAGGACUGGAGAGGAGAUUGGAAUUCACGGUGUAGCAGUGAAAUGCGUAGAUAUCGUGAGGAAGACCAGUGGCGAAGGCGGAUCUCUGGACAGUUCCUGACGCUGAGGCGCGAAGGCCAGGGGAGCAAACGGG